AGUGAACUAACCACAGGAAAAUGUGUUCUCUUUAAUCAAGAAGAAAGUCUCUGUUUACUACUAGAACAUCUUUAACACCUCCCAAUAUUUGCAUAUGAUAGAAACCAGAAGAAGUAAAACCUCAGAUCACAAUUCUGUUAACAGCAAAGGCUUAAUCAUUGCCUUUUCAAUGUGUUUGGGUACAAUAAAAGACCCUUGCUUUUUACCAAUGUGUGACAGUGCAUCAACCUGAAAGAACAGGAAAAGCUGCUGCGAUGAGAAACUCGACAUCCAAGGAGUGGAAGUACUGGGUCAUCUGAUAAUCCUGUGUUUAACUUUUUGAGGAACCGCCAUACCGUUUUCCACAGCAUGUGCUCCUUUACUUGUAUGCGUGUAUUCCAUCUCUUCUAACAACACUCCAGCAAAAUAGGCCUACUGCAGGUUACAUUGAGUCUUCUUACUCAACUCCAUUUAUCCAGGAACUGGGCUCCUGACUCUUGAGAGAUGGAGAGAAGUGUGCUGGUGGGCCUGCAAAAGAAGAUAAGUGGGGGCAGAGGAAAUGGCCAUGGAAAAGCACAGAUAUCAUGAAGAGUUAGUGAGGGGAUGGGCUCCUCUGUGGACUAUGAAUAAAGUGUUUACAACACUCUAUGGCAAGUGGAACAAAUCAGACUGCUGAAAGUCAGUAAGGAGUCUCUUGGAAUCCCAUAUGAGACAGAGAUUGCCUCUCUUAAAGUUUAUCAGUUUUAUUUUUGAAUUGCUUUUAUCCAAAACUAGAAAGAAAACUCCUUUACCCUGUCAAAAAACCAACAGACAUGUCUGAACCCUACAAAAUUGCCCAAUCCAUACACAGAUACAUAGAAAUAUGAGGUUUUGAUAAUUUGGAAAAUCAUCCAAACCAUUGUUUAAAUUUUAAUACCUUACUUGUUUUCACUUAGCCUUUCCUGGAGGUUUCUAAGCUCUCCAAAAUUAAUAAAUAAGAGAAGUAACUUAGCCAUUUCUGUGAGUUGCUUAUGUUAGAAAGACAUCUCCAAACUAUAGUCUUUCAAGCACUCCUUUCCUUUGCAGAUGGCUAUUGAUAUAAAUAUUUCUCUAAUUCCCUGAGCGUUCAAAUGGGCUGGAGUUUCAUGUUAAAUCUGGACUUAAGAGAGAGUUCGGUCUCUCUGACUUCAUAUUAUGGUGACUUUUCCAUCUCUGCUCAUUUAUCAGGGAGAUAACUGUCUGUUGGAAUGGCUUUCUUGAUCCUUGAACUAUUAGUGGGAUAGACUCUUAUCUGAUGGCUUCAAGAAGGGCCUGGUUUGCUUGUGGUGGCCAAAAAGGCCUUAAUUGAUACUGCAAAUAGUUAAUUUAUGACCCCAGGUUAAACUGGAAACCUGAUUUCUUGACUAGCAUAUUUAAGAGCUAUUUCUUUUUUUUCUCUUUGUCAAUAGAUCAUAUUUAGUUAUGCUGAUCUGUUCUAUUCAUCCACUUUACCUUUGUGUAAUAAAGUCUUUGAAAGUAUUGCCUUUAUAUUUUCU
rnacentral:lncRNA from 1 species